CAGUAGCCGCGGGAAUACAGAGGGUGCGAGCGUUAAUCGGAUUUACUGGGCGUAAAGCGUGCGUAGGCGGCUUCUUAAGUCGGAUGUGAAAUCCCUGAGCUUAACUUAGGAAUUGCAUUCGAUACUGGGAAGCUAGAGUAUGGGAGAGGAUGGUAGAAUUCCAGGUGUAGCGGUGAAAUGCGUAGAGAUCUGGAGGAAUACCGAUGGCGAAGGCAGCCAUCUGGCCUAAUACUGACGCUGAGGUACGAAAGCAUGGGGAGCAAACAGGAUUAGAUACCCAGUAGUCCCUGUCUCUUAUACC
rnacentral:rRNA from 1 species